GCCAGGGGCACAGCCGGGGGUUUAGGCUUAUUUUAGGAUCACAAGUGCACGCUCUGGUAGACGGAGGAUGACUUUGUCAGUCUUCUGGCUGAAGGGCCUUGUCCAAAGUCAGGAUCAGAAAUAGAUAAGGUCAAGGGCUUGUUUUCAUGAGGGAGAGAUUGGAACACUCGCAGGUGUACGAAGUCCUCGUCGCCGACGUG
rnacentral:lncRNA from 1 species